rnacentral:rRNA from 1 species
UAGGGAAUCUUCGGCAAUGGGGGCAACCCUGACCGAGCAACGCCGCGUGAGUGAAGAAGGUUUUCGGAUCGUAAAGCUCUGUUGUAAGUCAAGAACGAGUGUGAGAGUGGAAAGUUCACACUGUGACGGUAGCUUACCAGAAAGGGACGGCUAACUACGUGCCAGCAGCCGCGGUAAUACGUAGGUCCCGAGCGUUGUCCGGAUUUAUUGGGCGUAAAGCGAGCGCAGGCGGUUUGAUAAGUCUGAAGUUAAAGGCUGUGGCUCAACCAUAGUUCGCUUUGGAAACUGUCAAACUUGAGUGCAGAAGGGGAGAGUGGAAUUCCAUGUGUAGCGGUGAAAUGCGUAGAUAUAUGGAGGAACACCGGUGGCGAAAGCGGCUCUCUGGUCUGUAACUGACGCUGAGGCUCGAAAGCGUGGGGAGCGAACAGGANUAGAUACCCUGGUAGUCCACGCCGUNNCGAUGAGUGCUAGGUGUUGGAUCCUUUCCGGGAUUCANUGCCGUAGCUNACGCANUAANCACUCCGCCUGGGGAGUACNACCGCAAGGNU